GUAGCUGUUGACCUUUACUUUUCAAGAAUUGGGCUGUUGAUACAAGGGCAAGUGGUAAACCAUCACAUUUAGUACUCAGCACUGUUUCUGAACCAGGUGGGUAGUCACCCCAUGAUGCUUCUCUUAAGAAUAGUUUUCUUGAGUAUUUUUUGUCAAGAGUGCUCAUCAUAUAUACAUGACCAUUACCAGAGCUGCAGGCAUUUGCUAUGGAAUGGAUGGCCGUCGUCACCAGCACUAUGCUGCUUGAUCCUGUAUCUACAGGGAAAGCAUCUUUUAUAGUACUGUUCCAAUAUUCC
rnacentral:lncRNA from 1 species